GACGUAGGGCGCGAGCGUUGUCCGGAUUUAUUGGGCGUAAAGAGCUCGUAGGCGGCUUGUCGCGUCGACUGUGAAAGCCCGGGGCUUAACCCCGGGUCUGCAUUCGAUACGGGCAGGCUAGAGUUCGGUAGGGGAGAUCGGAAUUCCUGGUGUAGCGGUGGAAAUGCGCAGAUAUCAGGAGGAACACCGGUGGCGAAGGCGGAUCUCUGGGCCGAUACUGACGCUGAGGAGCGAAAGCGUGGGGAGCGAACAGG
rnacentral:rRNA from 1 species